rnacentral:rRNA from 1 species
UGAGGAAUAUUGGUCAAUGGGGGCAACCCUGAACCAGCCAAGUCGCGUGAAGGAUGAAGGUCUUAUGGAUUGUAAACUUCUUUUACACGGGAAUAAAGCGGGGGACGUGUCCCCCUUUGCAUGUACCGUGUGAAUAAGGAUCGGCUAACUCCGUGCCAGCAGCCGCGGUAAUACGGAGGAUCCGAGCGUUAUCCGGAUUUAUUGGGUUUAAAGGGUGCGCAGGCGGGAUGUUAAGUCGGCGGUGAAAUUUUGCAGCUCAACUGUAAAAGUGCCUUCGAUACUGGCCUGCUUGAGUGUGGAUGAAGUAGGCGGAAUUUGUGGUGUAGCGGUGAAAUGCUUAGAUAUCACGAGGAACUCCGAUUGCGCAGGCAGCUUACUAAGCCACAACUGACGCUCAUGCACGAAGGCGUGGGGAUCAAACA